GCGGGCGUGGCGAAAUGGUAGACGCAUGGGACUUAAACUCCCUCGGGCCCAGCCCAUGCCGGUUCGAGUCCGGUCGCCCGCA
rnacentral:tRNA from 1 species